rnacentral:lncRNA from 1 species
GGAAGAUUCUGAGAGGAGGAAAAAAAAAUAAUACUACUUUUCCUUGUCCAUUAUUCUACCUGAGUGAACUCCUUGCUUUUAAAUAAUAAGGGUUAUAUUACAAAAUUAUCAGCCAAAUUUAAAAGGUUAACUUAACAGCUUAAUGUUCCUUCCUUCCCAUACCACUGCUCUGGGUAUGUGGAACAUUGUCACUUGUUUCUAAUGCAAUAGAGGAAUAUAUUACUUCAAGUGGAUUCUGUCCAAGAACACAAUGUAGGGGAUUCUAAUUAGUAAUUAAAGUUGCAAGAGCCAAGAACUUUGUCAGAAGUUCUAUUUUUUCCAUAGUUUUUUGAUUCUCGAUCCAAACAUUCCUUUGACAAGCCAGACCGUACCUGGGAUUAAUUUUUCAAAUACACUCAUGCUUCAAUAUGUCCAACUCUCUCAGCUGCUGAGGGUUAGACAUUUAUACAUUUACCCCAGUAAUGUAUACAUCAGACCCCAGUGCUGGAGGACUACCCUGAGGCACCUUCUGUAAGACCUGGGAAGAUGCCUGAGUGACCAAAAAGCUUACUCUAUUCCAUAUCUAUCUGUGUCCAAAUACUGUUUCUGUGUGUUUAAGGCCUGGUGGCACAGGCAGACCCAGAGUUGCCGGGCAGGUGGUGGUGAUGCUGUUCCCUUUAAAAAGCCACAGGCACAGCACAGGGGACAGCAGCACCAGCUGGUGGAGUCCGUUAGGCGGCAGGAGGAAGCGGCUAGCGGCAAUGCUGACCCCACACAUGAUGGCUCUUCUCAUCUGCCACUAGAACUGCUCUGUAAGUUCCAGCACUCCUGGGGGGGUUUGCUGCCACUCUUUCCCUUUGUCUCUCAGAGUGUAUGGCCACCUAUAAAGGCCGCUGUAUUGAGAGGAAGGUCAGACGCCAUUUUGUCUCCCUGUGUCAGGCGCCAUCUUGGGAGGGGUAUUUCCACCAUUUUGGGUUUCUUCUUUUUCUGGAGGGGCUUGUGAGAUUUAGCAAUUUGAUAUCUAGUGAUUAUUUACUGGGGAUUUUUGCCUGUUUCAGUUUUGCUUGUCAGUAAACUGCUAUUUUUUUCACUUAUAUCCACUUGUAUUUAGUUUCUUCUUAUUGGUGGAAAGGGACUGUUUAAAACAAAGGGGGAGAGCUCAUUUUAGACUGUUCUCCUUUAAAAUUUC